AGGGUAAUACUUUAAUUAAAAGGUUUGAUUUGCGUUCAAUUAUUAAGACAGACGUCUUUUACUCUU
rnacentral:tRNA from 1 species